CGCAGCAGCCCAGCCGCGCUGGCGCCCUCUGAUGACCGGAGCCUGCGUUGCACUGACAUUAUCCGCACAGUUGAUUGAUUGAUUUUUCCUUCCUUCUCGCGUUUAUUUUUUCAACAAAUAUUUAUUGAAUGAGUGCCUAAUUUGUUCCAGGCACCGCGCUUCUUGCUUCAGAUACAAAUACGAACAAGAUAGUACUUGCAUUAAAAGAACUUAGUAUAAUGCCGGAAAUGAACACCUAAAUUAAUAAUUACGGUAUUAUAACCCCGUAAACGGAUGUUCGUGGGAUGUUCUGAAAGGUCGAAGAAGGACAGCCAGCCCGCUGUGAAGCAUUUAGGCAGAAUUCCUGCUGUAAGUGUUUCAUAAGUUGGCCUUAGAUGAUGAGCAGAAGUUCUCCAGGCAAAAAGAAGACAGAACUAGCAGUCCAAGGAAACGGUUCAGAAUGAGCAAGAAGUCCAAGGAAACGGUUCCGAAUGAGCAAAAGCACAGAGAUGAUAAAAAAAGAAAAGAAAAAUAAAGCUUUGUGUCUCAGGUGAAACCAGCAGCAGUUCUUUAUUAAUGCAAUGCAACUAGAUAGAUUUUUUUUCAUUGCAUCCUCGCGGAAUAUCAAGUUAUGAAGAAGUGGAAAUCUAGAUAUAGAGACAAAGAAAUAUAUGUAUAACCGAAACAAAAAUUUCACAAAAUUCUAGACACAAGUCAGCUGCUUGGAGCCCUGGAAAACAAAGCUGGUAAAUACAAAGCAUCUAGUCUAAGAAAAACACAGAAAAAAAAAUUAUAUACCCACCUGAGAAAUUUGCCAGCCCCCAACUAGAUAAAGCCAGUACUGAGGAAGGGGGAAGGGGAGGCGCUGAGCAGUUGGGAGAACGUGACCUCAAGAAACUUGCAAGCCUCCACGGGAACAAGCACCACCAUGCCAAAUUCCAGGGAGUUGCUUGGCAGCUCAGCUCGGGUUCUCUGCCAAUUGACAGCAGGCCAUACUUUGCCACUGAUCAUCCAGGUGGGAGUGAGGCUUGGCACUCUGCCCAGCAUUCCUCCCGCACCGAGGGCACAGCAAGUGAGGGCGUAGGAUGCUUAGAGACAUGGUGGUAAUAUAAACGGAAAGCUCUGCACUGGUGUGAAUUUACCCUCAACCAACUAACAUGAGGACUCCCACAAACGGAGAAUAAUAGGAGAACAUCUCAUCCCGGUUACAAAUGCCGUAUCCAAUCCACUAUGCUUUUGGAGGAUCUGGGCCCUUGCCUUGAAUAAUGAGGCAAGAGGAAAGAAUCCUGGGCCCAGAAGACUGGAGGCCAGCAGUCCCCAGUCUUCCAGAAGAGGUUUGCAUAUUUGGGGAAGAAGCAAUUUCACCUGGUAAUUAGCGGCGGUUCGUGGGUGGGCUAUGGAUCUGGGCAUGUGACUGGGACAUACUACUUGAAAAGAAUAGUUAGAAAGCUGGGAAAAGUGGGAUAUGUAACAGAAAGUAUUGGUUGCCCCCAAACCCCACCCCCAUUUCCUUCUUGUUGGCAGAGCUCAGAGUUUGUUCAAGGCUUCAGAAGACAAGCCCUUCCCAAGUCCAAGUUAUGAGAAAAAGUAGCUCUGCCCCCUCCAGAGCAAUGUGAGAUUCUUAGUUGUUUUCUGUAUGUGGCAGAGCUGACAAAGUGUUCAUGUUUUUUUCUGCUUAUUAUAUACAUCUCCAAAACCUUGGGUUAAGGCAGCAUGCAGAAGAGAGCUUCAGGCUGUCCAGCAGGAUGUGGUUUCUCAAUAUUGGUGGCUGUGUCAUGCACUCUGCCCUUUGCACUUGGGAGUGCCUGUUACA